rnacentral:lncRNA from 1 species
GCUUCCAUCCCUUGAGCAAGGCUUGCAACCAAGUCACCAGAAUCGAACCUAAAUCAUGACUCGCUAAGCCUUGGUCAAAGUCAAGGCACCAUUUAAAUUCAGAAAAGGGAUCACAUGCAAUAAAGACAACCUUGCCUGAGGCUUGCACAUCGAUCUGUAGUGCACUUAAAGAAAAUGCGAGAUUUUUGAAAUCAUGACAAGAUCAUU